GACGAACCGUGCGAACGUUAUUCGGAAUCACUGGGCUUAAAGCGCGUGUAGGCGGAUGGGAACGUCGGCUUCUGAAAGCCCCCCGGCUCAACCGGGGAAGUGGGGCCGAAACGACCCGUCUCGAGGGACGUAGGGGGAUCUGGAACUUCCGGUGGAGCGGUGAAAUGCGUUGAGAUCGGAAGGAACGCCCGUGGCGAAAGCGAGAUCCUGGACGUUUUCUGACGCUGAGACGCGAAAGCUAGGGGAGCAAACGGG
rnacentral:rRNA from 1 species